rnacentral:lncRNA from 1 species
UUGAAUGCCUUGAAGAAUGGCCUCGUUCUACGAUGGUCAAGCUGUACGCAAUGAACGCAAUAACUUGAUAAAGACACGUGGCAUGAAGAGAUAGGUAGAGACUCGACGCAUAAUUAAAAGGCUAUUAAAUUCAGGGGUUUGGAUCCUAUACGAAUGUUGCCCCUCCAAAGAUCAUCCAGAGCUUUUGCUCACGGCGCGACACCUGGCCGAGGAUGCAUAUGUGGCUAGAAAUAAGCCACGAUACCAACUCAAGACAAUUUGAGUUCAGCGGUGCCGUAUUGCAUCAACGAAAUUGCAGCUCUGUUCAAUUUUUUUUGGACGAUUAAGGGCUAAUUACAGUUUGUUCCUUUAAAGUGUUGAUUAAUUCCAAUUUGGUCCUUUAACUAGAACUUUUUCCACUUUAGCUCUCAAUCUAUUGAAUUAAUUGCGAUAAAGUCCAAUCAUUAAUUCCGUCCAUUCUUCUUAGUUUGCAAAGAAGAAGGACAAAUCACUUUAAAUGUGUAUUGAUUAUCGACGACUGAAGAAGAACGGAACACUUCGAAUGUGUGUUGAUUACCGGCGACUGAAUCGUGUGACGAUAAAGAACAAGUAUCAACUUUUGAGAAUGGAUGACUUGUUUGACCAAUUGAAGGUUUUGAGUUGUUUCUCGAAGAUUGACUUGAGAUCAGGUUAUUACCAGUUGCGGAUUAAGGAAGAGGAUAUAGCGAAGAUGGCUUUUCACUCACGCUACGGACACUAUGAAUUUCUUAUAAUAUCGUUUGGUCUUACGAAUGCGCUAUCAACUUUCAUGGACUUGAUGAAUCGUGUCUUCCAUCCAUAUCUUGAUCGGUUCAUAGUCGUGUUCGUGGACGACAUCUUGAUCUACUCUCCAUCAGUUGAGUCGCAUGAGGAGCACCUGAGGAUUGUAUUAUAGCUUAUACUGUGCCGCUUCACAUGAUGGCUUGGUGUGUGUUUUGAUAUAGCUGGGCAUGGUGAUUGUGUAUGGUUCACGUCAGUUGAAGAUGCACAAGUAGAAUUAUCCGACUCAUGACUUAGGGCAUAUGGCCGUUAUAUUUUCUUUGAAGAAUUAGAGGCAUUACUUGUAUGGAGAACAUUUUGAAGUGCUUUCAGACCACAAGAGCUUGAAGUACCUAUUUACGCAAAAGGACUUGAACUUGAGGUAGCGACGUUGGAUGGAAUAUAUGGAGGACUACGACUUUGACUUACAUUAUCAUCCAGGGAAGACCAAUGUUGUGGCCGAUGCGCUUAGUAAAAAAUUCCUUAGUACCUUGACAAGCAUUUCUAUUCAUGAGUGGCAUAUGCUUCAGUAUCUUGGUGAGUACGACUUACUUCUUAGCGAGACAGACGAGUUUGCUACAUCCAUCAUCAGUCGAAUUAUUGAGGCACAUCAGUAGGAUGUGGAGGCCAAGACGAUUUGUGACCGCAUUGCAAGAGGUGUAAGGCCAACAAAUUGGAUUUUGCAUCCAAAUCAGGGUUUGAGGUACAAGUCCAGAUUAUUUGUACCUUUGUCUAGCAGAGACAAUUUUCUUCGUGAGUUUCAUCAUUCAUAAUUUGCAGUUCAUUCUGGAGGGAUGAGGAUGUAUCAUGACUUGUGUCGCCAAUUUUGAUGAAGAAGAAUGAACAAGGACGUUGCCUUGUUCGUUUUGCAAUGUCUAACUUGCCAACAAGUGAAAGCAAAGCACCAGAGACCAGCAGGUUUUCUACAACUAUUGUUAGUUGCUAAAUGGAAAUGGGAGUAUAUCACGAUGGAUUUCGUGGUGGGUUUGUCUAUAUCACUGAGAGGGCAUGACAUCGUUUGGGUUGUGGUCGAUUGUUUGACCAAAUCUGAGCACUUUCUAUUUGUUAGUCAUAUUCAGUAGAGGAUCUUGGCAUUGUUUAUACUCGUGAAAUUGUUCAACUUCACAGAGUUUCGGUAUCUAUCGCUUCUAAUAGAGACCUGCAUUUUACAUCGUUCUUUGGGAAGGGGAUGCAGUCAACUCUUGUCUCAAAUUUGAGAUUUAGCAAAGCUUUUCAUCCUCAGACCGACGGAUAGUUUGAGCAUACUAUUCAGAUUCUAGAGGACAUACUUCAAGCACGUGUGCUUGAAUUUAGAGGAUCGUGGGAGGAUCAUGUACACUUAGUGGAAUUCGCGUACAAUAAUAGUUAUUAGGUGAGGAUCGAGAUGAUACCUUUUGAAGCAUUGUCCGACAAAUUAUGUAGGUCACCUAUUUAUUGGACCGACGUUGGAGAGGCAUCGCUUGCAAAGUCGGAUUAGGUUGGUGAUAUGACCGAAAAAGUAGUCUUGAUUAGGAAGCGUUUGCUCACAGCACAGAGUCGCUAGAAGAAUUAUGCCUACCGAAGGAAACGUCACUUGGAGUUUAGAGACCACGUAUUCUUAAAGGUUUCAUCAACGAGGGGAUUGAUGCAUUUUAGGUGUAGCGGCUAGCUAUCAUCGAGGUUUAUUGAACCGUUCGAUAUCCUCGGUCGUAAAACGAGGGGAUUGAUGCAUUUUAGGUGUAGC